GACGUAGGAGGCGAGCGUUGUCCGGAUUCAUUGGGCGUAAAGAGCGCGCAGGCGGCUUGGUAAGUCGGAUGUGAAAUCCCGAGGCUCAACCUCGGGUCUGCAUCCGAUACUGCCCGGCUAGAGGUAGGUAGGGGAGAUCGGAAUUCCUGGUGUAGCGGUGAAAUGCGCAGAUAUCGGGAGGAACACCAAUGGCGAAGGCAGCUCGCUGGGACGGUACUGACGCUGAGACGCGAAAGCGUGGGGAGCAAACAGG
rnacentral:rRNA from 1 species